rnacentral:lncRNA from 1 species
UCUCUUUGUUGUGUAUCGCCUAGCUGAGGAAGCUUCAGUGGUACAAGUGAAGAAGGGGAGGGGGGCGGGGAUGAGGUAUGUCCAGGACCGUAUCUGCCAACCAAACAGUCGCGGCUAGGAUCUCAGGGGGCGACCAAGGAAGGCGCGCGGACUUGUCCUGUGUCUCCCCGCCAGCGUUCUCGCAGCAAAACUUGAUAGUGUCCUGGGGAAAGCCCCGCAUCCAUCUCAACCGCCACAUUCAGGCUUUGUGCCAAAGAGGAAACACAGUAACCUAUCCGUCAGCCUCGCCUGUUAUCAGAGCGUGUGGCUGGGUUUCCAGCCUGGCCUUUAUGCGCCCUGGUGGAGGUAGGACACGCGCCAGGCUCCCAGCGAAGGACGUGGGACAAUAGCCUGGCCGGGGGAAAGGCAGGCGCCGCCCGACGCAGUGAAGACAAGCUCCAGCCACCGUCCCGCAGCGCAGCCCCGAGGCAGGGAGGGCCGCGAGCUCUGCAGACAAAUAAUAACAGAGAAACCGGCUCACCGUGGUCUUGACCCGCACGAAGAGCACUUGCUUGGCGCCGCCGCCUCCCCCACGGACCUCAUCAGGCUGGCCCAGCUGGAAACCCUUCGAUUUGACCCAGAAUUUAAAUUUGGCAUUGUCGGUGGAGCUUGACUCUGAGCCGUUGAGAAGCUGAACAAUCCGCUCAUAUUUCUUACGGGUCACCGUCUUGGUCUUGCCUGAGUCCCCGUAAGUCCUAAGGCACCAGUCCUGGAACUGGCGGUACAUGUCGCGCUCGCUCUCCAUGUUCCCUCGCUGCCGUGGGCCGGAUGCUCCCAGCGCACUUCGCACCUGUUCACCCUGGUCUCAUGAAAUAUGCCGCCCAGACCACGAUGCAAGGACGCGAGGUCCCGGCCGAACCGCGGGAGUCUGCCUCCGGUGGGGUGGGGGCAGGAUCAGGGAGAGAGGAGGAGGGUCCGGAUGGGCACCAGCAAUCAAUGCCCCGUGCUACCAAGUCUGGCUCGUUCCUAAUUGCAAAGGAUGUCUCGGACGCUUUUCUAGUGCUCUUAGCGGUCGGUCCCUUUAACACUGUGUGACCAGCACCAUCCCAACAGCAUCUGGCCCAGCGGAGCUGGGUUUCUGAAUAAUUAAAAUCCCAUUCCUUAGUUUAUUAAAAAUCCCAAUAUUGAUUUGAGGUGGUCUCUCGAUGUCUCGCCCCCAGGGCUGUGUCCAGGGCAAGGCAGGUGGAGCGCAAAGCAGUCUCCUGGCUCGCGCCCCAGAAGCUUCCCCAGCGGAUGGUCCGUCCAGGAGCCAGGGCUGCGCCUCUAGCAAAAGCAGCCUUCUGCUGAAGAGCCUCAGUGGGCACACGGGUCCCUGGACUGUAUCUCUCACUCUCUCUCUCUCUCUCUCUCCUGCUUAACCUGGGCCUCCUCUGCGACAGAACUAGAGAGCCAGAAAGUUCUUACCUGUCAUGUUGAUAAGCCUAUCAGAUCCUGUUUUACAUGAAUUUUAAAGAAGGCAUCCUAAAAACGACUCAAAAUAUCAUUUCUUCAGGUGUAUUAGGUUAAAUUCCAGCCACGAAGGUAGGUUGCAAGAGUUGGGUUUCAGAAAUUCGCCCAGUAUUCAUAGAUACCUGACCAUAGCUCUAUAGGAUAGAUGGAGUACCCCAAACAGGGAUGCAGUCCGGGCAAUGUGGGAACAGGAAGACAGGCCGCUGGCUGGGGCUCUUCGGAAUGAUGCUAUCCCCAAGAUAGGACCCUCUGGGUUCUGCUGGAGUGGGUACAAGACAUGGAAAUAAGUUUACCGCACAGACACUUGAACCUUUUUGCGUGAAAUUAAAAUGCAGAAAACAGUUCUUCUCCCUCCCUAGGUUAUAGUUUGCAGUUCACACGGGAGGUUUCGGUUGUCUAUUUCCCCCGUGCCACGUCAUGGACCCCCCUCCGAUGCUCAGAGGAGCCAAAUCGGAGUUGCUCCUGAUGAUUUUCCCAAGCAAAGGAAGUCAGCGAUCCCUCCAUUAGGAUUUCCACCCGUGUGUCGCGGCGGCGCUGGAACCAGGGGAGUUCCAGUCCUGCUCCCUGCAGCCGCUCCUCUUUACUGCACUCCCUGCCGAGGCCAGCGCGGGUCGCAUGGAUCGGCUCAGCCAGCCGGAUGGCCGGACCCUCGCCGCGUUCCUGAGUGGUCCGAGCCCACCAGGGAGGCUCGCUGCGGUCUCCCCGGCGAAAGCCCCAAUGGGAACGCGGCUCGGUCCCGGAGCUCUCUGGCUGCUCAGUGGCUCCCGCGCGGCCAGGCUGAGCUUGUGCGUGUGUGUGGUCGAGCGAGGGUGUGCGGGGCGCGGGGGUGCGCUUCUCCUGGAAGAUUCUCGGGGCGGCCCCAGCCCGGACUGACAGCCCGGGCGCUGCGCGAGCAGCUCCACACACUGAACCUCUCGCCUCUCCCCUCACCCCCACCCCUCCCACUCCCC